UGCAGUCGAGGGGCAGCACAGGUAGCAAUACUGGGUGACGACCGGCAAACGGGUGCGGAACACGUACGUAACCCUCCUUUAAGUGGGAGAUAGCCCGAAGAAAUUCGGAUUAAUACCCCAUAAGAUUGUGGAGUGGCAUCACUCAGCAAUUAAAGAAAUUCGCUUAAAGAUGGGCGUGCGGCUGAUUAGGUAGUUGGUGAGGUAACGGCUCACCAAGCCAACGAUCAGUAACUGGCGUGAGAGCGCGACCAGUCACACGGGCACUGAGACACGGGCCCGACUCCUACGGGAGGCAGCAGUAAGGAAUAUUGGUCAAUGGACGCAAGUCUGAACCAGCCAUGCCGCGUGAAGGAUGAAGGUCCUCUGGAUUGUAAACCUCUUUUAUAUGGGAAGAAACCACUUUUUUCUAAAGGUGUUGACGGUACCAUAGGAAUAAGCACCGGCUAACUCCGUGCCAGCAGCCGCGGUAAUACGGAGGGUGCAAGCGUUAUCCGGAUUCACUGGGUUUAAAGGGUGCGUAGGCGGAUUAGUAAGUCCGUGGUGAAAUCUCCGAGCUUAACUCGGAAACUGCCGUGGAUACUAUUAAUCUUGAAUACUGUGGAGGUUAGCGGAAUAUGUCAUGUAGCGGUGAAAUGCAUAGAUAUGACAUAGAACACCAAUUGCGAAGGCAGCUGGCUACACAGAGAUUGACGCUGAGGCACGAAAGCGUGGGGAUCAAACAGGAUUAGAUACCCUGGUAGUCCACGCCCUAAACGAUGAUUACUCGACAUUUGCGAUAUACACUAAGUGUCUGAGCGAAAGCAUUAAGUAAUCCACCUGGGAAGUACGACCGCAAGGUUGAAACUCAAAG
rnacentral:rRNA from 1 species